UUAUCUCUUGAAUCAACUUAAAAUAUUUUCAUUUUUACAGAUGUUGACUGUUACUCAUGAAGGAAAGAAUUUGUAGACCAACCACCAAAGAUUUGUUUGGCACUGUCAUUUCAAAAAUAUUCCCUAUUUUGGUAAUUAUUAAAUUUGGUCAAAACAAAACAAACACAAAAAUUAAAACAUUAUAAGAAACUGACCAAUAAUUACAAUGUGUGACCAUAAAAUAACAGUUUUGCUGUUUAAAUCAGCUAAAAAUAUUAUUAUUUUACAUAUUUAUCCCAAUAUUUCCAUGUUUUUUAACACCACCGUGUCCCACAGUUUAGUUUUACAUAUUUUUCUUUGCACUCUUGAUGUCAGAUUGUCACAUUUCUCCAUGCAGGAACCAGAAUGAUCGUCCUGCAGCCACUCAGCAGCUCUUGGGUCAAUCCUUCCACAUGCUCCGUAAACAGCAGCAGCAGUGUUUAGAUGCAGCCGCUGGAUGUGCCUCCUCCUUCCAGCACCUCCUGCUGUUAUAAUAGAUACUGCUGCUGCUUUCAUCCAAUGUCACGGUGAUUACUGCAGCUCCUCUGCCGUGUUUCCUGGCUUCUGUCUGUCUCUGUUGGUGCGAGCCUCUAAUUGCAGGAGUGUUGAGGAGUCGGAGCAGAGCUUCACCAGCUGCAGCCACUUCCUGUAAUCAAGCCUUCUUCAGAGCCUCAGCUUCCACUCCGCUGACUCUUUAAGUCUUCUUUUCUGAUUAACGCCUGUUUCCUUCUGCCUACAGCUUCCUCCAGAUCACUGGACCUUCGUCUUCCACCCUCUGCACUGCAAAAAAGCUAACUUGUAUUUUUUGGCCUAAAACAGUAAUUUAUGUUGGUAAAACUUAAAAAUAUAAAUUAGUGAUAUUUAAGAUAAUAAUCUAAGUUAGCACAACAAAGCACGACAGUUGCAUGUUCCAAAAUAAUUUGGUGAGUUGUUAACACUUAAAUCUUUACGUUGUGGUUCAAUACAAGGGACAACAGUUCUGCCAACUCAUUUUUCUUUGUUGUGAAAUGCGGGAAAGCCAACUUUCCAAGUUGACAUUUUUCACUUCAAGUCUUCUGGCUGUGUGCUGCUGCAAGGAGCUGGAGUGCUGCUGUCUCAGGCUGAAGUCUGCACAGGUAAGUUUUAAACAACAUUUAAUUUAAUAUAUUUUAACGUGAAAUCAUACGGGAAUUUUAUUUUGAGUUGUGUCAUAAUGGAGAAAGUGACCUACACAUUUUCAACAUUUAAACACAAGGCUUUUCAGUCCUUAGCAGUUAGCUGCUAACUGAUGCUAGCAAGGGAACAGCGGUUAAGCCAGUAACAUUAGCUUGUUUGGGCAAAUCCUAUUCAAAUAUGACAGCAUGUUAUCUUCUGACUGGUUGGUAUUGUGUUAAUUCAUGCUCAACUCAAAAUUAUGGUCUCAACGUCAGCCGAAACUUUAUCUCAUCUUUCAUAAAUGUUGAAGAUGUUAUUAGACAGGGUAAUAACAGUCAUGCUCGGUCUCUGCUCCCAGACAGCAGCAGGUGAGCAGGCUGUUACGUUAGUGGGGACAGAGAGAACCGAGCUCGGCACAUGCUGCAGCUCAAUCCACUGUGCAGUAAGUUAGACAUAGGCAGACAUAGGUGGGCAUGUUAAAAAAUAUUCACUUCAGCAAUGCUUUCCCUCAGCUAUGUUUAUGGGGGUGUGACGGUCAGACCAUCGACUGUGUGUGUGUGUGUGUGUGUGUGUGUGUGUGGGUGUGUGUGUGUGUGGGUGUGUGUGUGUGUGUGUGUCCGCACGUGUGUAUGUGGGGUGCGUUCGCAGACAGACGGCAGAAGGGUGGGGGCCCUGUGAUUAUCGAAGAGUAUUUUUGCUUGAAAUGCACAUCCCUACUUCUUAAAGUUUAACGUUACGUCAGACUGAGUUAAAUUUUUGAUUGUGAGGUAUGGGGUGGAAAUAGUUAAAAUGUCAAGCUCAUAAUUAAUUGUAUUUGGAAAAAAAAUGGUUAUUUAAUAAUGUGGCGAGUUGGAGCUUAUUCUGAUUCACAGUAUUUUGAUGACUAAUGUCUUGCAAUCCAUGUGUUGGUCUUUUCCUGUCUGUUAACAUCAGGACACUGACCCAGAAGUGGAGCAGACGAAGGGCCUCACUGUGGGUAUCCUCACUGUGCUGGAGGAUGAUGACAGCAGGGCUCCUCAAAGUGUCUGUGGACCAACAUCUUCCCAGAACCCAGACGGAGCUCCAGAUCUGCAGCUUCUGGUUCGGUUCCUCCCUCGACUCUGAUUACCUGCCUGUCCAACUCUUCUUUAACCUCAGUCAUCACCUGCUGUCUCUGGGUCACUAAUGCAGCCCAGAACAGCUGGAAAAACAUCCAAACAUACUCACAAUACGAGUAAGACUGUUACAGGAACUCCAGUGAGAGGAGAACAUUAGGAGAAGUCAUGAAUAAAUUAAAAAAAACAUAUAUACAGUG